CACUGCUCAGUCUCUAGAGACCCCACGUGGUUCAUACUCAUCACUUUUAUCAGAAAAUAGAGACGUGGAGUUCUUAAGUUCAUUGGUUUCUCAGAGAGAUAUAAAAAUUCAAAAAAACUAUUUCAAUUUCAUAUCUCUUUCAAUACACACACAGGCAUGGUGAUAAUCCUUUCUCUAUGUAGAUAUGUGGGAAUUUACUUUUAUGUUUGAAAAAAGCUAAGGAUGAGAAUAACAGGGUUCUAAUUGAAGACUUAGAUGGCGUGGAUAAUUUUGAUUCAAAUAAUAAAGAAGUUUUGAGAAGUGUUUAUGCUGACGCUUUAGGGGAUAGAGCUUUAUUAAUGGAUCUUAGUAUUUUAUCUUGGAGUAUUAGAGAAGGUCAGGUGGUAUUUUAACUUUGUGGAAUGGGGUCAAGUCAUUUUUGAAGAUCAAAUUUUAGGUGGUUUUUCACAUACUUUACGAUUAAGAAAUGUAAAUGAUGGCUUUGCUUGGUUAUCACUUCUGUCUAUGGCGCAUCGGAUACAACUGACUAUGGCCAAUUUUGGCAAGAGAUAGUUGAUAUCAGAACUAUUAUGCAUGAGUCGUGUUGCAUUGGAGGUGACUGGAAUGCUAUUUUAACUCAGAUCGAGAGAAAUCGAGCUGAUGGGUGCAUAUGGCGCAUCGGAUACAACUGACUAUGGCCAAUUUUGGCAAGACAUAGUUGAUAUCAGAACUAUUAUGCAUGAGUCGUGGUGCAUUAGAGGUGACUGGAAUGCUAUUUCAACUCAGAUCGAGAGAAAUCGAGCUGAUGGGUGCAAGAAAAAUAGGAAAACUUCAAGCAGUUCCUAAACAUCCAGAAUUUUUUGGAUUUGCCAAUGGCUGGUGGCAAAUUCACUUGGAAAAAUUCGCAAAAUCUACCGUUGUUACAAAGGUCGGAUAAAUUUGUUGUUCAGUAGAUUGAGAAGAUAAAUGCCCAACUCUAGUUCAAACAAGAUUAAAGAGACCAAUCUAUGAUCAUGCCCCAAUUCUACUCAACUGCAAUGGAGGUAUAAUUCUUAAAUCCCCUUUUAGAUUUGAGAAUUAUCUACUGGCUCAUCCCGAUUUCUUAGAUAACAUUAAAAUUUGGUGGAAUAUCUUGGUAUUCUCUGGUAAAUGAAGUUAUAUUUUAGCUAAAAAGUUACAAGGCCU